rnacentral:tRNA from 1 species
GUUGUGGCUCAGUGGUAGAGCAUCUGCUUUGUAUGCAGAAGGUCCCAGGUUCAAUCCCUGGCAUCUCCA